rnacentral:lncRNA from 1 species
GUUAAAAUGGCCAGCGUGAGGAAUUAUUAAUUAAAGCUAACAAAUCACCCUGACGAGCUGUGCCCUGGCAUGGCUGAAGGUUGAUUGGCGAAAGUGUUCUCCUUUGGAGAAAAGACUUUUUGUGCUCGUGACGCAGUCAGGGACGGAUUAUUGAAUAUGCAAGUUAGAAGAAAAAUCACAGGACAAGCAAAUUGAGUAUUUACUGGCAAAUAAUUGCUCUCUUAAGCUGUGGCUCUCUUCCUAAAUUCUUAACAUUCCCGAGGGUUAGAAAGAAACACAGAAAAAUGCAUCGGUACAGAGUACAUUUCAAAAAAAAUACAUAGACUGAUGUUUCAGACUUGUGCAGAAUGUAUCGCCAUCACUAACUGGAUAUUCCUCACAACUUUGCUGUCCGCAGUGGCUGGCACUUUUCCUCCACGCUUUGAGAGAAAGAGAAUUGGCUGGAAUAAAACCUUGCCUUCCAUAUGGUCGACUUGAAAUACAGCAUUGAAAAGAUAUCAAUUGCAUGAGAAAAGUGAGAUGAUGUAAGAGAUCAGUACUGCAGGCAGACUUCCCACAAGUUUUCAUCGUACCUGAUAAAGAAUGAACGGAAGCUACAGCCAUUGGAUUCCUGCACAGUGCUUUGUGCAAAAUGAGCAUGAAUUUUCCUUUUGCCUCUCACCCCCAAAUAAGCAGGAAUCCCCAAUAUAAUCAACAGUAGUUCUGAUUCCAUGGCAAUAAGCCCAAAACCUGAGUAAGGCAUAGAAUAUACACAUACACAUGUAUCGCUUCCAGGGAACCACAUGGUUUUUGAUCAGGACUGAUCUGCGUGUAAAUUUAAACCUGCUGUAGAGGCACCUUCUUCACUGGUUUCAUGUAAAUGCAUAAAUGCUAUUUGAGGAAAAAAAGAAGAUAUCCAAGUACCCUAAGAAAAAUUACUAGAUUAUAAAUUGUCCUGAGAUGGCACAUCUAUCAUUGAUGAAAGCACUACUAUAUCUUUGGCUUAAGAAUUACAAACAAUAGAAAAUAAUAUAAAAAAUGAAAAUGCACCCUUUAAAUAAUGUUGCAAUAAGGUAACAUUUUCCACUUAGUGGUGGAAUUUUUGUAUCUCCUUAUUGUAAGCCUUAAACAUC